rnacentral:piRNA from 2 species
UCUUACAAAUAGGAUGGUGUUCUUGAUAGU